rnacentral:rRNA from 1 species
AGCGAACGCUGGCGGCAGGCUUAACACAUGCAAGUCGAGCGGGUGUAGCAAUACAUCAGCGGCAGACGGGUGAGUAACGCGUGGGAACGUACCUUUUGGUUCGGAACAACACAGGGAAACUUGUGCUAAUACCGGAUAAGCCCUUACGGGGAAAGAUUUAUCGCCGAAAGAUCGGCCCGCGUCUGAUUAGCUAGUUGGUGAGGUAAUGGCUCACCAAGGCGACGAUCAGUAGCUGGUCUGAGAGGAUGAUCAGCCACAUUGGGACUGAGACACGGCCCAAACUCCUACGGGAGGCAGCAGUGGGGAAUAUUGGACAAUGGGGGCAACCCUGAUCCAGCCAUGCCGCGUGAGUGAUGAAGGCCCUAGGGUUGUAAAGCUCUUUUGUGCGGGAAGAUAAUGACGGUACCGCAAGAAUAAGCCCCGGCUAACUUCGUGCCAGCCGCCGCCGUAAGAC